GAUGAAGAACGUAGCGAAAUGCGAUACGUAGUGUGAAUUGCAGAAUUCAGUGAAUCAUCGAAUCUUUGAACGCACAUUGCGCCCGCCAGUAUUCUGGCGGGCAUGCCUGUCUGAGCGUCAUUUCAACCCUCAUGCCCCUAGGGCGUGGUGUUGGGGAUCGGCCAAAGCCCGCGAGGGACGGCCGGCCCCUAAAUCUAGUGGCGGACCCGUCGUGGCCUCCUCUGCGAAGUAGUGAUAUUCCGCAUCGGAGAGCGAUGAGCCCCUGCCGUUAAACCCCCAACUUUCCAAGGUUGACCUCAGAUCAGGUAGGAAUACCCGCUGAACUUAAGCAUAUCAAUAAGCGGAGGA
rnacentral:misc_RNA from 1 species